rnacentral:lncRNA from 1 species
GUGAAAUUCAAUUGAUGAUCAUAUUUUAAAAUCUAUUGCCCCGUCGUAUGAUAGAGCACCAUUAAACUGAUAGCUUUGCGCAAGUGUUUCUCUAAUUUCAAAUGUAUAUAUAUCUUGUAACCUUUUUAUAUGUUUAAAGAUUAAAUGAACAACAUAUAACCUCUUAGUAACAAUUACUGACGUUAACAUAAAAAUUAACUUGUGAAGAGAAAAUUGGGUUAUUAUACUCUAAAUAUAUAUAUAAAAAAAAAAAAACUACUUUUAGAAGUUGUUUUCGUUUGUACACAACUAAGAGACAACUGCAGUCUCCUUCGAGGUACAAAUGUAAUCUCAUUCACGUGCAAGAAGAAACCAACCACAUUAAAUGCGAAUCACAUGACAAUAAGGGCAUGCGUGAUGUUGAAUGCUUGGUACAUUGUAGUAAUAGUGUAGUGGUAGCAGUAAACUCAACUCCAUGAACUACACAGUUCUUUCUUGAUAAUCAUAUUACUUACAUCAAACAUAAAAAUAAUUUAGUUGUCGAAUUAUUUAAUCUUACUCUUAUAAUUGUUCUAAAUCACAUAAUUAACUUGACGGCACUCUUCUUUCAAAAUUUGGAGGGGGAAAAAAAGAAAUAAUAAUGUAAUAUUCUGAUUUUGCCGCAGAAUCAAUCUUGGCCAUAACUUUUCAAAAGAUGUUUUGUGGGCGAUGACGGUUACAUGUUCACUAAGAGAGCAAUUAAUGCAAAGUGGGAAAGGGAGCAUAAUGCCCCACUCACCUUCAUCGUAGGUUUUUCGAAAAAAAAAAAAAAGGGAAAGAGAAAAAGGCCUAGUCUCUUUCUUCAUUCACGAAACGAUCGUACAAGACAAAGACUUAACUAAAGCCAUAAACUUUUUUUCCUUUUUCUCCUUUCUUUUUGUAGCAAUCAAGCUAUUUAGCAAGGAUUAUGCUCAUUUUUUAAAAAAAAUUUCUCUUCUAAUUUCUGUUUAAUUUAAAAUUUAAUUAAAAUUUAUCUUAAUUAUGAAUAAAAUAUUAAAAAAAAAACUGAUUUGGUUAUUAACGUUAAAAUUGAAAACUCACUUUUAACUACACAUUUAACAACAAGAGACUAGGAGAGAAAAAUUUAUAGGGAAACAUAUUUCUAGAUCCUCACCCCCUUUUAGCAAUUGAGUGUUAAUUUCUACCGACAUGUGCACCUUUCACCAUAAAUUUCCAUGCAAUAAUUGCUAAAAAUACAUAGAAUUUCUUUACUCAAAACUAUUAUAUUUACCUUAAAAUAUAUUAAUAUUA